rnacentral:lncRNA from 1 species
UCCGUGAUCCCAGUGAGGGCAUUUGGGGGGUUUGCUUGGUUUAUUUCUUCCCCCUCCUCAGGUUCUGCCAACACAUCCGCUAAUACAUUGCAUUGUCAGCUUUGCUAUCGACGCUUCAUCUUAAGUGCUUUGCUACUGAGGCUGCUCAUCGACUAUCUUCUUAUCUCAUCGAUCCGCUCAUUCAACAUGGGUUCAACCUUCCC